ACAUCAUGGGCGAGAGUGGGCGCGCAAGGCCGAAACAGGUUGCCGCACGAAAGUGGGUGGCGAAGGUGGGUGAUGGGUGGGUGUUGGGUGGCUGUGCCGCCUAUAACCCAAAGUUGUGAAUAACCCAAAAGUGCGUGCCCCUGAUUGGGCCAAGGUGGGAGUAACGUAACGCUACAGAUCAACAAUUCCACAUGACGUAAACAAACACGAGAGUGCCAAAGUUUACUGUCACGUGCUUGUCAACAACAACAACAACAACAGCUGAAGAGUCUUGGCGUUUUAUAACGCCCUGACCCCGGACACGAUGAAGCUUUACAAGUGACCCCCCCGGCUGCGUGGACUUUGCACCCGACCAGCGGCAACUACAACUAAUACUAGUUCUUGUACCUGAACUAAAGGCCCACAGCGCUUUCAUCAUACUUUUAGGGCGAUGCCAGGACACAGCCUGCCGGCAUUUCCUACAGGGCACGAAGGACAUCCUCGUCUACAUCAAACGAGAGCGCCCACAAGGGAUACAGUUGUUAACGUGGCCAAGGAGCAGCGACUAUGGCGGGGACAAAAACACAAACAUGGUUGCCACGAGUAUCGUGAAGGACUAGGACGAGAAUGAGGGCGAGUACGAGGUCCGCAGGACGCUUGCAGUUGAAGGAGCAGAGCACUUUAUGUGCAUAUAAUGUCCGCUCUCACCCAAACACACACACACACAUCCACACCCAUAGACAGAAAGGAACCCUUCCAAGUUGCGGGGAAUUGUUAAUAUUGUCUGGGCCUGUAAGCAGCAUUUACAUGCUGGCCGACACCACGUACUACAUACGUCCUGGCUGAUGGACGGUCUCCUGCCAGGCUUGCCAUGAUGAUGCCCGGCUUUAAGUAGGCCCGGUCCGACCCGCCUGCCUAGCAGAUAUUGUUUUAAAAAUAUGUACAUCCUUGCAGCUUGCAGAUGUUGAAUUAACCGACGAAACCGGCAGAUUUCAUUAGGAUGGAGAGCAGACAAAAGUUAUGGGAUGUGAAAAGCCCAAAUGCCGAUGCAUUCUUGAUUCGUGACAUUAAGACAAAAAUAAACUUGAUUUUGGUAUGAAAUUGAUUCAUUCAUUUUCAAUCCAUUGAGUAAGAUUCUUAUCCGCUGGAUGUGUCGGGGACCAGCAUCAGCACUUCCAACUGUGAGCACAUCCAACAGGUAGUCAAACCAGACAAACUGUCUCCACUUGGCGACUUUCGGAGACGUUUUCCUUUCCUCUUUGGUCUUUAAAAGCGUCAAUAAAUUAUAUUGAAGGAUGAGAAACAGUAACCCUUUUCUUGGAGGACUUUGAAGCUUGAGCUUGGACUUUGGAUUUACUUGGACCUUUAAAGUAUUAUCAAAUACUUCUAUGGAAAUAAGAACGCCCAAUUGGAUCUAUAUGAUCGCUUUAUAAACAUGUUGACUACAUUUCAAUGGACCGUAUAGGAAUGAAGUGGAAAUUUGUAUUUAAGUUUACCAUACAAUACUAAAAGUUACUAAAAAUUCCCUAAACUGACACAAUAACAAUGUUCGUUGCGAUAUAUUGCCCAAUUAGAAACUGAUAAUAUCUUGAAAUAACAAGAAAUCAAAGCAUAUUUAUCUAUUUAAGACUACCUAAAAAUAAAAAGGGUCACCAAAUUUCUUUAAUAUAAAUUGUAUUAUUUUGUAUUAUAUAUGAGUAAAUCUCAAACACUUUCUAAUUGUAAAAAAUAUAACUAAAUUAAAGCGGAUUCUGAUUAGAUAACUUCAGGAUAACAAUGUCUAUAAACUACCAAA